UGGGGAAUAUUGGGCAAUGGACGAAAGUCUGACCCAGCGACGCCGCGUGCGGGAUGAAGGCCUUCGGGUUGUAAACCGCUUUCAGCAGGGAAUAAGCGCAAGUGAAGGUACCUGCAGAAGAAGCACCGGCUAACUAUGUGCCAGCAGCCGCGGUAAUACAUAGGGUGCAAGCGUUGUCCGGAAUUAUUGGGCGUAAAGAGCUCGUAGGUGGUUUGUUACGUCGGUUGUGAAAUUCAGGGGCUCAACCCCUGACUUGCAGCCGAUACGGGCAUGCUAGAGUUUGGUAGGGGAGACUGGAAUUCCUGGUGUAGCGGUGGAAUGCGCAGAUAUCAGGAGGAACACCGAUGGCGAAGGCAGGUCUCUGGGCCAAUACUGACACUGAGGAGCGAAAGCGUGGGGAGCGAACAGG
rnacentral:rRNA from 1 species